CGCGCGUGGACGUAGUUUAUUGGACUCCGCCCCAAAUAAGGACAAGCCCCAGCACGUUUAUAAAAGCCAUCAUGAGCCUGUUGAGCCUGUUACGACGCAGGGCUCUGUAAACAUGUCAACAGAAGGCAAAGUGAUCACAUGCAAAGCAGCGGUGGCGUGGGGCGCAGGCACAGCUCUGGUCGUAGAGGAUGUGCAGGUGGAUCCGCCCAAAGCUCACGAAGUGCGCAUCAAGAUGCUGUACAGUGGAGUGUGCCACACAGACCUGACCUACCUGUAUGGUACGGGGAAAGGCGCGUCGACGCGGCCUUUCCCCUUGAUCCUGGGACACGAGGGGGCCGGGGUGGUGGAGAGUGUGGGCCCCGGGGUGACCAACGUCAGCCCAGGAGACAAAGUGAUCCCUCUGUACCUGCCUCAGUGUAGAGAGUGUGAGAGGUGCAAGAGCCCCAGGACCAACCAGUGCAGGAAGAACUGGAAGACCAAUAUGAUGGGCAUGAUGGCAGAUGGGACCAGCCGUGUGUCGUGGAAUGAUCAGCAGGUGCGCCAGUUCAUGGGCGUGUCUACUCUGUCCCAGUACACUGUGGUGGCUGAUAUUUCUGUGGCUAAGAUCCACCAGGAUGCUCCCCUGGACAAAGUGUACCUGCUGGGCUGUGGGGUGUCCACCGGGUACGGGGCAGCAUGUAAGACUGCACAGGUAGAGAAGGAUUCCACCUGUGCCGUGUUCGGCCUGGGCGCUGUGGGCUUGGCUGCGGUGAUGGGCUGUAGAGCUGCGGGCGCCUCCAAGAUCAUCGCCGUGGAUAUCAAUCCAAAGAAGUUCAAACUGGCCCAAGAGCUAGGGGCCACAGAGUGCAUCAACCCCCUGGACCAUAAGCCCCGGCCCAUCCAGGAGGUCCUGAAGGAGAAGACCCAGGGAGGGGUGGACUAUGCACUGGAGUGUGUGGGCAACCCUACUGUCACGUCUGAGGCUCUGGAGUCCACUGUGGAUGCGUGGGGUGUCUGUGUGGCGGUGGGCUGGUCUGACGCUGGGCCAAUCAAUGUUGACGUGGAUGAGCUGCUCGUGGGACGCACGCUCAAGGGGACAUACUUUGGAGGUGAGGGUGUAAGGGAGCUGACUAUGUUCCUGUUCUGGUGGACAAAUACAUGAAGAAAGAGCUGAAACUUGAUGAGUUUAUCACACACAGGCUGAGCUUAGGCGAGGUCAACAAAGCCCUGGAGCUGUUGAAGACUGGAGAGAGUAUCCGUUCAGUCAUCAGCCUUUGGUAGAGGAGUCCACAUUAAGUCUCCUGAAGCUCUCUGGAAGUACUGUACAGUUCCCCGUUUUAUCACUAGAUGUCCUUCUAACACCAGGGAUAACAUCAUCACAGACCAUGGUUUUCCACCAGCACCAGAUUCUGUAAAUACUCUCUUAACUAUGCAAAGAUUAAAAAGGGGUAUUUUACAAAGUAGAUUUUUUUUUCAUCCAUGGACGUUUUAGUAAUUAAUCUCUCAUGGGCACUAUUCAAACCCUCCUUACGGUUAGCUGUAAGAUUCUGUCAACACUCCACCCACAAGUCUACGUCACCCAUGCUCCCACACGACAAUUCUAAAUAUACAAAAGCACGAUAUCAAACUGUACACAACAAUUUUACAAACCUGAUGUGCAGUAGUUUCAUUAGCAGAAUGCACAGCACUCUUAAGAGGGACUGACCUUUGAUUCAGAGCAUAAAAAAACUUAAAAGUGACACUUAUAAACAUGUUAAUAUCAAAUCAGUAAAAGGUAACAUUGUGAUCUAAAUAUGUAAUGUGUUGGCAAUUAAUAACACUGAAGUAAAAUCCCUCUUUUGAAAUGGUGUCACUGUUUUUGUACUUGCAUUGUGUAUGCAUUGCAGUUUAAUGAAGACCUCUCAGGCCUUUGAAGACAUUUGUUCAUUUUGAUGUUAUUCGUGGUUUGAGAUGAAAUAUUUACCCUUUUGUGGUAUAUUUUAUUUAAUUGUUUGGGGGGUUUUUUUGCCUAAUUUUUGAUAAUUUGAAUCCUGUAGGAGCCCUCUGCAUCAGGAGCAGAGGUCGGCUGUAGCUGUCGGGUCUGUCCCGUGGGCUCCUGGUGGAGAGUUGGAGCUUGGGCUUCAUCUCUCCCCUGGCUCCUGUGGUGGUUCCUGGUGGUGGUGGACGUCUCUCUGCUCCUGAUGUAGACGGCUCCUCUGAUGGUGCUUUCUCAACUGGUUCGCCUGUAUUCAGCCUCACAUUUUACUAUGUGUCGUUUUAUGUAUUUUAGCAUGUUAAUGUGUGUGGGGGUUGGGUUGGGU